CGCUAUCACUCCUACGGGAGGCAGCAGUAGGGAAUCUUACCACAAUGGGCGCAAGCCUGAUGGAGCAACACCGCGUGAGUGAAGAAGGGUUUCGGCUCGUAAAGCUCUGUUGUUAAAGAAGAACACGUAUGAGAGUAACUGUUCAUACGUUGACGGUAUUUAACCAGAAAGUCACGGCUAACUACGUGCCAGCAGCCGCGGUAAUACGUAGGUGGCAAGCGUUAUCCGGAUUUAUUGGGCGUAAAGAGAGUGCAGGCGGUUUUCUAAGUCUGAUGUGAAAGCCUUCGGCUUAACCGGAGAAGUGCAUCGGAAACUGGAUAACUUGAGUGCAGAAGAGGGUAGUGGAACUCCAUGUGUAGCGGUAGAAUGCGUAGAUAUAUGGAAGAACACCAGUGGCGAAGGCGGCUACCUGGUCUGCAACUGACGCUGAGACUCGAAAGCAUGGGUAGCGAACAGGAUUAGAUACCCUGGUAG
rnacentral:rRNA from 1 species